AUUGAAUGGACUAUUCUAUAGCAUUUUAUUAUAUAGAGAUACAUGGCAUUGCUUAAUUAUCAUGAAUUUUUUCUCUUUAUCCACUGUAAAUAGCCUAAUUAGCCCGGGCACACAUAAACAAAAAAAUAUAAAACCAAAUAAUGUCCAAUUAAUGUCCAAAUUACAAAAAACCCAAUACCAGACCCAAACUAUUAACCCAAUACAGCCCAAACCCAACUAAACCUAAAACCCUAGCCCAACAAAACAACCCAAAACACUUUCAGAAAAAAAAACUAAAAAAC
rnacentral:lncRNA from 1 species